AAAUCAGCCUGUUGUUGUUUAGUCGGCUAACUGGAAUUGAAGUCUACUUUUGAAUGAACAUCUUCUUCUUUUGUGCCAGCAUGACCGCAUUCGAGUUCUAAUCUCGAAGGAACCCCAAGGAAUUCUGUCUGAUCCCUGAUCAAUUCUCCGAUGAACCCCAUUAAAGCCAGACACUGCAGCUUAAUCAUUUUUUUAUAAUAAAUUGUUUAUAUAUUAUAACGAAUAAAAUAGUACUGUUCUUCUCAUAUAACAACAAGUUGGUUAAUGUUAUGUUCACAUAUAAUAAUACAAUUUAUCAAGCCGAAAGAGCAAAAUUCUAAUUUUGUGACCAGAUAUCAAAGCAUAUGAAGAAUAUGCUGCUUAUGAAAGAAUUUAAUUAGCAACAA